rnacentral:misc_RNA from 1 species
GGGGGAGUCAAUCACGGACCCUUAGUUCUAAGGACUAGAACCAGCCGCUGGCUAGGUCAAACAACAAAUCAACAAUUAAUUUUACUGGAAGGUGUUUCCUUUGAUGGUACAUUGUUUCAUAGUCCAUUUUCUCAACAUUUAUUGAACAUCAAAAACAAGUAGACCCAGGCAUGUUUAAAUUAAGGUGCCAAAACAUAUGCCACAAGUAAGAAGCGUCUAGGAAUAAAAAUAAAGCCUUUAAGCCUCCUUGCACAAUUUGGCAGUCAACAUAUUUACAUAUUGAUUAGAAACACUCCAUCCAUUGCAAUAUUCAUAAAUGGUCUUUCCAACAACAAAGCUCACAAUGCAUGACAUAGGAAAACCCAUGAUAAAUCCACUACAACUAAAUAAAUGCUCAAUGAACACAUCCAUAAGAGAACUAUGACUCUAACAAAUAGCCCAAACCAAAACCCAUUGCAUCUAUCUAUAAACAACAGAAGUAAUUAGCAAAUGAACAAAUACUAAUCACAAUAGGUAUUGAAAUUUGUCUAAGCAUAAUCCCCAUUAAUGAUAAUCUCCCAACUUCAAAUAGACUUGAGAAAUUUUUAAAAGACUAAUUAGCAAGUUCAACAUGAUUAAGCAUAAUCAUUCCAAACUUUUGCAUCAUUUUUGUAAAUGAAUAAUCUCACAACAUCUAAGAGAGUCAAGAAACAGGUAUAAAAAAUCAGACUUGAAAAAUAUACAACAUCAAGGAAAUAAGUGUGAUUAUAUCAUUGCAGCAUAUUCCCUAGGCAAUUUCUUUAAAUAAACAGCACAACCAUAGUAGGAGCUAUCAACAGAAGAAAUCAUUUAUAUAUCAAUAAAGCUGACAGGUGAUGUUCAACAGCCAUUCCAUUAAGCGAACUGGUUUUCCCCCUUGAGACUUAUCAAAUAUGUUAAGCUUGAAUAUUACAUAAUGCAUUCAUCUUUCUCGUUUCUCCCUCUUUUAUGGAUACAAAAGCAUACAACCUAAUUUUGUCAAACUGGGCCAAAUUUUCAGAAUAUAAAUCAGUCCCCUUUCACUUUAAAUACUGGUAGGUAAAACUUUCAUUGAAAGCAAGGAAAUAAAUUUACUUUAUAAACAUCACAGAGUGAAAUAUGAUUAGACCUGGAAAAAAAAAAAAAAAUCUCUCCAAACAAAUGAAACCUUCAUAAUGAAUUACUCAUUAGAAGUAUCAAAAUUCCAAAAGAAUUUUGCCCUCAAUCAGAGGUAUGUGCCAAAUUAAACUAUAAUUCAUCCUCAAGAAAUCAAAAUUGAGUAAGAGAUUUACAAAUAUUCUUCCUUAUUCGCGAGUCUGAAAUUCAACUUCUUAUUAGUUUCAAUGAUGGAAAUCAUAAAAAUAGUAUAAAUUAAGUCUGGUAUCAGUUUCUUACAAGCAUUUGACUUUAUUAAGAACAAUGUAUUCAACUUCUUAUGAUUGUGACCAAUUUGAAAAUAUUAACUCUAAUCUAUAAAAUAGGAACAGCACCAUCAGGUCAUAGGUAGAAUUUUUUUGUUAAGCUGAGAAUGUAUGGGAAGUGAAAGUUCUCAUAAUCAUAAAUUUAAUUUCAAAAAAUCAUAGAAAAAUAUGGAAACCUUCACAUGAACAGAUAAUUUUAUCUCAAUCAAUUUACACUGGACAAUAGAACUCUAAAAAUAAAUUUACUUUUCUCAAUUUGCUCCAUGAUUUCCCGCCAUCCAAAUAGAGAAGGAAACAAAGCAAUAAUACGUAUUUUAGUCUCUCCCAUCCAAUUAAAAAUAAAAAAACUCAAGCCUCGCCAGAUAGAAUGCAUGAAAGGUAAAUAAAUCAAAAUAACGAAAUUCAAAUCUUAUUCUAUCCUCAUAAAAACCAAAAAACCAUUUCAGUUAGUUUCCAUAUACUAAAACACACACACAGAGCAUAAGAUCCAAAAAUUUUCCUCUCAAAUCGCUCACUUUCCCACUAAUCAGGGAAAAAAAAUAAAUAUGAAGCGUACCGUAUCAGAAGCCCCAGCUCUCGGCAGCUCAAAAGCCGUUAAAGAGGCCCAACAUUGAACCUUGGCUCAACCACAGUACUUCAAAAUGCUUAUCACUGCAAAUUGCCGUACGGUGAUUGAUUAGAUUAGAGAGUUAACUCAAGAAUUGAGAAUCAGUUGAAGAUCUGGAGAAGUAGAUAAUGAAAUGCACCUAGGGUUUUUGAUUUGGUAGAUAGCCACUCAACAAGAACAAUAAAGAAGAAAAAGAACAAAAAAGCGGAGUCAUCAGUUGUUCUCCAAUCUUUAGAAUCUCCGCUUUUUUGCUGAAGUAACAAUUUAUAGCGAAGGCAAAUCGAUACCGAAGGAAGGAUCCUGAAUCAUUUUUCAGUGGCAGAUGAAAAGGAAUUUUUGGUAGAGGGUUUCAUUUGCCAUCCCCAGGCAGAAAAGAAGAUAUAGAAAUUGAAGGUAGGUAAGUAAUUUCAUUGGUAGACACACACUUGGCUCUCUCUCUCAAUGCUUAUUUUCUCUCCAAUUCACAGAAAAAAUACACAAAGAAAAAUAACUCCAAUUUUCUUUUUCUCUAAUAUUUUUUCACAUUUAUCCAAACAGAAAAAAAAUCCUACCAAAAUUAUUUUUUCCUACUUAUUUUCUUUCCUCCCCUCAUCCCAUUUCCAAACAGAGUGUAAG